rnacentral:rRNA from 1 species
CUAGUGUCAGCCCCCGCGGUAAUACGUAGGGUGCAAGCGUUAAUCGGAAUUACUGGGCGUAAAGCGUGCGCAGGCGGUUUUGUAAGACAGAGGUGAAAUCCCCGGGCUCAACCUGGGAACUGCCUUUGUGACUGCAAGGCUGGAGUGCGGCAGAGGGGGAUGGAAUUCCGCGUGUAGCAGUGAAAUGCGUAGAUAUGCGGAGGAACACCGAUGGCGAAGGCAAUCCCCUGGGCCUGCACUGACGCUUCAUGCACGAAAGCGGACCG